GAUGAACGCUGGCGGCGUGCCUAAUACAUGCAAGUCGAGCGAACAGACGAGGAGCUUGCUCCUCUGACGUUAGCGGCGGACGGGUGAGUAACACGUGGAUAACCUACCUAUAAGACUGGGAUAACUUCGGGAAACCGGAGCUAAUACCGGAUAAUAUAUUGAACCGCAUGGUUCAAUAGUGAAAGACGGUUUUGCUGUCACUUAUAGAUGGAUCCGCGCCGCAUUAGCUAGUUGGUAAGGUAACGGCUUACCAAGGCGACGAUGCGUAGCCGACCUGAGAGGGGGGUAGGCGACCCGGGAGGGUGACCACGGACCAGACUCCUACGGGAGGCAGCAGUAGGGAAUCGUCCGCAACAGUCGAGAGCAUGACGGAGUAACGCCGCGUGAGUGAUGAAGGUCUUCGGAGCGGAAAACUCUGUUAUUAGGGAAGAACAAAUGUGUAAGUAACUAUGCACGUCUUGACGGUACCUGAUCAGAAAGCCACGGCUAACUACGUG
rnacentral:rRNA from 1 species